rnacentral:rRNA from 1 species
CCUCACCAGGCCCGGACACCGGAAGGAUUGACAGAUUGAUAGCUCUUUCUUGAUUCGGUGGGUGGUGGUGCAUGGCCGUUCUUAGUUGGUGGAGCGAUUUGUCUGGUUAAUUCCGAUAACGAACGAGACUCUAGCCUGCUAAAUAGGCGUACCUUGAGGUAUCUCGAAGGCCCCCGGCUUCGGUCGGGUGGUUUUUACUACCGACGUACUAACAAAUCUUCUUAGAGGGACAGGCGGCGUCUAGCCGCACGAGAUUGAGCAAUAACAGGUCUGUGAUGCCCUUAGAUGUCC